UACGUAGGGGGCAAGCGUUGUCCGGAUUUAUUGGGCGUAAAGAGCGCGUAGGCGGCCCGGUAAGUCCGCUGUGAAAGUCAAAGGCUCAACCUUUGAAUGUCAGCGGAUACUGCCGGGCUAGGAGUCCGGAAAGAGGCGAGUGGAACUCCUGGUGUAGCGGUGGAAUGCGCAGAUAUCAGGAAGAACACCCAACGGCGAAAGGCAGCU
rnacentral:rRNA from 1 species